UCCGUAGGUGGCGAGCGUUGUCCGGAUUUACUGGGCGUAAAGAGCGCGCAGGCGGUCGAUUUAGUCGUGUGUGAAAGCCCCCGGCUCAACUGGGGAGGGUCACGCGAUACUGAUCGACUCGAAGGCAGGAGAGGGUAGUGGAAUUCCCGGUGUAGUGGUGAAAUGCGUAGAUAUCGGGAGGAACACCAGUGGCGAAGGCGAGUCCCUGGACAACACCUGACACUGAGGCACGAAAGCUAGGGGAGCAAACAGG
rnacentral:rRNA from 1 species